GACGAACGCUGGCGGCGUGCUUAACACAUGCAAGUCGAACGGUGAAGGGGUCUGCUUUUGUGGGCCCUGGAUGAGUGGCGAACGGGUGAGUAGCACGUGAGUAACCUGCCCCCUUCUUCUGGAUAACCGCAUGAAAGUGUGGCUAAUACGGGAUAUUCUGGGUCUGUCGCAUGAUGGGUCUGGGAAAGAUUGCGCCUUUGGGUGUUUUUGGUGGGGGAUGGGCUCGCGGCCUAUCAGCUUGUUGGUGGGGUGAUGGCCUACCAAGGCGGUGACGGGUAGCCGGCCUGAGAGGGUGGACGGUCACACUGGGACUGAGACACGGCCCAGACUCCUACGGGAGGCAGCAGUGGGGAAUAUUGCACAAUGGGCGCAAGCCUGAUGCAGCGACGCCGCGUGAGGGAUGGAGGCCUUCGGGUUGUAAACCUCUUUCGCCAGUGAAGCAGGCCUGCUCCGUGUGGGUGGGUUGACGGUAGCUGGAGAAGAAGCGCCGGCUAACUACGUG
rnacentral:rRNA from 1 species